AGCUGUACGCAUUGCUCAGCGUCUGUCCGCGAGCGCAGAAGGAAGAAGCACUGCUCCCCGGCUCACUCUGCCUCUCCGGUCCUGACUUGCCCUGCCCCUCCCUCAGUCGGGGAGGCGGGGAGGCAGAGCCAGCUGGGGAAGUGGCAGGAGAGAGUGAGAAGGAGGAGACUAAGCAGGGAAAAGGACUCAUGGCUUCUGAUGCGAGUCACGUGCUGGAAGCUGCCCUGGAGCAGAUGGACGGGAUCAUUGCAGGCACUAACACGGGGGGAGAUAUUAGCGAUGGUACCUGUGAGCCUGGACUGGCCUCCGCGGCUUCCUACAUGAACCCCUUCCCGUUGCUCCGUCUCGUCGAGGACUUGAGGCUGGCCCUGGAGACGCUGGAGCAUUCUCAGGAGAGAGCAGCCCUCCUGAGCCAGAUCCCCGGCCCCACAGCUGCCUCCCUAAAGGAGUGGUUCGAGGAGAGCUUGUCCCAGGUAAAUCACCACAGUGCUGCUAGUAAUGAAACGUACCAGGAACGCUUAGCACGUCUAGAAGGAGAUAAGGAGUCCCUCAUAUUACAGGUGAGCGUCCUCACAGACCAAGUGGAAGCCCAAGGAGAGAAGAUUCGGGACCUGGAAGUGUGUCUGGAAGGACACCAGGUGAAACUCAAUGCUGCUGAAGAGAUGCUUCAACAGGAGCUGCUAAGUCGUACAUCUCUUGAGACUCAGAAGCUCGAUCUGAUGACUGAAGUGUCUGAGCUGAAGCUCAAGCUGGUGGGCAUGGAGAAGGAGCAGAGAGAGCAGGAAGAGAAGCAGAAAAAAGCAGAGGAGUUACUGCAGGAGCUCCGGCACCUCAAAAUCAAGGUGGAAGAGCUGGAAAAUGAACGGAACCAGUAUGAAUGGAAACUGAAGGCCACCAAGGCUGAGGUAGCCCAGCUGCAAGAGCAGGUAGCCCUGAAGGAUGCAGAAAUUGAGCGUCUGCACAGUCAGCUCUCCCGGACUGCAGCUCUGCACAAUGACCAUGCAGAGAAAGACCAAGAAAUCCAACGUCUGAAAAUGGGGAUGGAAACUUUGCUUGUUGCCAAUGAAGAUAAGGACCGUCGGAUAGAGGAGCUUACUGGGCUGUUAAACCAGUACCGAAGGGUGAAGGAGAUCGUGAUGGCGACUCAAGGGCCUUCAGAAAGAACUCUCUCAAUCAAUGAGGAAGAACUGGAGGGAGGUUUCAGAAACUGGAACACUGCAAAUAAAGGCCCUGAAGAACUUUUUAAACCAGAGGUAUCUCCAAGAGGUAGCUCUCCCACGGCGGGACCACCCCCGCUACCGCAGAAAUCACUGGAAACCAGGGCUCAGAAAAAACUCUCCUGUAGUCUCGAAGACCUGAGAAGUGAAUCCGUGGAUAAGUGCGUCGGUGGGAACCAGCUGUCCCCAGUGGUAGAACCCAAGGACGGCCCUUUCCUGGUGGAGCACAAGUACCCCACGUUACCUGGGAAGCUUUCAGGAGCCACGCCCAACGGAGAGGCUGCCAGAUCUUCUCCCACUGCCUCCCCACAUGACCCUGCAGGGAGCGGCCUGCUGAGGCUGAAUCGUGGCCGGAGUGUCAGUGCCCCCGUGCUAGGAGACACAGAAAGUGGUUGGGAUGACACUGCUGUGGUCAAUGACCUCUCACCCACGUCCUCGGGCACCGAGUCCAGCCCCCAGUCUCCCCUGACACCAGAUGGUAAACGGAGCCCCAAAGGCAUCAAGAAAUUCUGGGGAAAAAUCCGAAGAACUCAGUCAGGAAAUUUCAACACCGAUGCCCCAGGGGUGGCCGAGUUUCGACGAGGUGGAUUCCGGGCAACUGCAGGGCCAAGACUCUCUAGGACCAGAGACCCCAAGGGUCAGAAAAGUGAUGCCAACGGCCCCUUCGCCCAGUGGAGCACAGAGCGUGUGUGUGCAUGGCUGGAGGACUUUGGCCUGGCUCAGUACGUGAUCUUUGCCAGGCAGUGGGUGACUUCUGGCCACACGUUACUGACAGCUACCCCUCAGGACAUGGAAAAGGAGCUGGGAAUUAAGCACCCUCUUCAUAGGAAAAAGCUGAUUUUAGCAGUGAAAGCUAUCAACACCAAGCAGGAGGAGAAGUCUGCACUACUGGACCACAUCUGGGUGACACGUUGGCUCGAUGAUAUUGGCUUACCCCAGUACAAAGACCAGUUUCACGAAUCCAGAGUCGACGGGCGAAUGCUGCAGUACCUGACUGUGAAUGAUCUACUUUUCCUAAAAGUCACCAGCCAACUACAUCAUCUCAGCAUCAAAUGUGCCAUUCACGUGCUGCAUGUCAACAAGUUCAACCCUCACUGCCUGCACCGGCGGCCAGCUAAUGAGAGUAACCUUUCUCCUUCAGAAGUUGUGCAGUGGUCCAACCACAGGGUGAUGGAAUGGUUGCGGUCCGUGGACCUGGCGGAAUAUGCGCCCAACCUUCGUGGGAGUGGUGUCCACGGAGGUCUCAUUAUCCUGGAGCCACGCUUCACUGGGGACACGCUGGCCAUGCUUCUCAAUAUCCCCCCACAAAAGACACUCCUCAGGCGUCACCUGACCACCAAAUUCAAUGCCUUGAUUGGCCCUGAGGCUGAGCAGGAGAAGCGAGAGAAAAUGACUUUACCUGCUUACACGCCGCUGACCACCACAGCCAAAGUCCGGCCAAGGAAACUGGGAUUUUCACAUUUUGGAAACAUAAGAAAAAAGAAGUUCGAUGAAUCGACAGACUACAUUUGCCCAGUGGAGCCCAGCAACAGUGUCGGUGACAGUCACAGGGUCUGUAUUGGCUACCAGGGCCUCAGCCCCCUCGAUGCCCCUGAACUGGAUGGACUGGACCAGGUGGCCCCUUCGGAAGGCACCCUGAUGCAGAUAGGGCUCCUCUCCCAAGACAUUCACCGCCUCACGGAAUCUGGCUGGAGUGACAGCAGGGAAGGAGUAACGGACUCCCUUCCCGCUGUCCUCAAGCCACCUUUGUCUGCAAUGGUGUCUCAGGGCUGUGGGGCCUCCCAGCACCUGAGCACAGGCGUCUUCGAAGCCUUUCCCUUCUCAGCCUCAGAGGCAACUGUCUGAUCAAACGGCAACCCCCUCUCCCAGCCACCCCGAGGAAGGCCCUCAGGCACCCACAUCAGCGUUUCCACCGCAACACAUCUCAGGUAUGCCCCACCUCAGGGAGAGGGACCUGCACACGGACCCCACACAGUCCCCUCCCAACCAGCCUUCCCCCUUAGCGAUGGUCCUUCUUCCUCCCUCUGGCCUCAUCUCUAAUUUCCAUGGUGGGUCUCCUACUUGGUCCCUCACCCUUCCUUUCCAGUUAGUCCCCUCCAGGUGUUCUCCACCCCAUCCCCAGAGGGACCUUCCCAAAGCACUGUUUCAUCCUGUUCCCUGCUAAGAACUCAGUUCCACAACUACCACAGAUUAGCGUUCAAAAGCCUGAGCUGAAUCUUCGGCCUUCCACGCUCUAGCCUGUGCUCCUGCCUUUCCCUCCCCGUGGAAUGUGCUUUUCUCCUAGUCUCUGUCACGAAGCUGAAUCCUGCCUGCUGAGGUCCAGAACAGCCCCAGCCUCUUUCAGGAAGCCUUCGCUGGUGUUUGUUAGGGUUGGAGGUGUCUCUCUGUCCCACGGUGCUGACCUUGGGCCCGAGCACUUCCUGGCUCACCUUGAAGUAACGUGUCACCUUUCUCCCCUUCCACACCUAUCCUCAACACAACCUCACCGAGCACCGCUAUGGAUGGGUUCCCGUACAGACAGGAGUAAGACCCAGUCCUAGCCCUCUGAUGGCCCAGGAGAUCCAUGAUGCUAAGUUCAUCCGCUCAUUCCCUCACAUGUGCAGUAUGCCAGAGGGGAAAGGCACUCCAGGCAGAGGCACCUGAAACAACCCAGCACAUCCAAGGAAGUACCCGAGGUCAAUAUGAUGAGAGCAGAAUUUCCUGACCUCUGCACUGCUGUCAUUUGGGGUUGGAAUUAUAUAAAAUGAAGAGCGGGUGGGGAGAGCAGCCAAGAUGGCAGAGUAAAAAGACCCAGAGCUCACCUCCUCUCAGGAGCACCCCAAAAUCACAACUAUCUGCAGAACAACCAUCAAUGAAAAAGACUGGAACCUACCAGAAAGGAUCUUCUACAGCUAAAGACAGAAAGAAGGAACCACAACAAAACAGAAAAGAAGCAACACGAGCCUCACCCCUCCAGGGCAUCCUGCUUGCUCCCCAGACUCAGCACACAGGUCAGCACAUUCCCGCCCCGGCCACCCGACUCUAGCUGGAGUGCUCCCUGCAGACUCUGGGCCAAAGAGUUCUGCUGAGGCUCCGACACAACAAACGCCCUCUUGUGGAGGGAGGCGCUGGGUGACUGCCCUCCAGCUGGAAGGCUGUGUCUGAUCACCCCAGCCCAGCUCCUGCAUCCACUCUGAGCGCCAGGCAAGGCAAACUGGACUGGCCCAGGAUCUCCUGCAGGGAAUGCGAGCAGCUAAGGCAGUGAUAUAUGACACGAUAUAUAUAAUCUACGGCACUGGAGAGCUACAGCAGAGGAAGACAGAGGCUGUAGCCUCUGCUGGGGAAAGUGCACAAAGCCAAAAGAUCUGUUGCAGGCUCAGAGAUGCUGCACACAAGACCUGGACCGUAAAACUCGUCAUGAUCCUUGUCCCAACAAUUCCACUUCUGCGAUUCUGUUUAACAAAAUAAUCCAAGCCUAGGCACAAUUAUUCAUCACUGUAUCAUUUAUAACUGUGAAAACUGAAAACAACCUGAAUGGAGGAGAAGAUUUAGUAAUGAUGGUGAGACUUGAUAUAGACUGAUGAAAAUAUUUAUAAAGAGUUUUAAUGAGAAGAAAAUGCCUGUGUGGUAAUGUUGAGUAAAAAAACUAAAAAUGAAAAACAAUAUACAUAUAAUUGUGAAUAUAUAGCAUGUAUAGAGCAAACAUAAAAAGAAGUAAAUUAUUUAUAUGCUUCCGUAUUUUCUGAAAUUUCCACUAAGGGCAAGGCAUCUAUGAUUUUACAUUGGGAAAAGCAUAGAAUUAUAUAUUAAAGAAAGAAGGAAAGCUUAGUGCUUAUGGUUGUUUGGGGAGACAGAGUUGAAAAACAAAAACAAACGGAAAAACAGGCCUGGACUCAGCUUCUAUGGCUGCCAGUCUCCCUACUUGAGCCCAGUGAGCCCUCCCAUAGCUGCAGGCGCCGGAGCAGCAUGACUGUGGUGAGUGGGGAGGAGAAGAAUGCAGAGACCAGCUCAGCAAACAGUGGAAAAUUCCUUCCUCACUCAAGGCUGACUCAGCAGAACUGACCUGGCUGGCACAGACGAGGGACAUCCUGGUCUUGUCACUGGGCUUCUUGGUGAUGCAGCGGAUGAGCUGCAGCAUGGGCGUAACCCCUGGAACACAGCUGGCAGGCAGGCCGGGU